AUGGAUAAGAUAUUCAAUAUUCUCCAGCGGCACAGACUGGAGACCUACUACGAUAAAUUCCGCACGUUUGGUGUCAAAGAUGAGAGAGAUUUCGUUGAAGACAUAACUGGUGAAGAUCUAGUCAACAUGGGUUUUACUCAAAUAGAGAAGAAUCGCUUUGAAAAAAUGAAAGUUUUCAUUCAAAGACUCAAAGCGCCACAGCAAGCGAUGCCUGUACAAAAAUCUAUGGAGGCUUUCCAACUGCGGUACACAUACCCCCACUGUCCUGAGCUAAAAGAGAUCACAGACAUGGAUCCUGCUACAAACACCGUUGAAGAUCUGAUGCUAAGGAUCUGUCACCAAGAGGGCAUUGAGAACUCUAAAGCUGUGUGCCUCUACACCGUUGAUGGAAUGCCUUUAACUGAUGAUCCUUUCUUUAACACAUGGUCUUUGAAAGACAGGCACAUUGAAAAUGGAAGUGAGCUCUAUGCCAUGUUUACACCCAAGGAGAAUUUGAAACAAGCCCCCCAAAUGCCACUGCAAGAGAUGACUGACAUGACAGGAGAGGAUAAUGUUCGAUGCCACAUCAUGCUCAAGGGAGACUAUGAACUCAAGGUGAACUUGGAAAGUGACACAAUUACAGAUCUGAGACAGAAGCUCUCUAAUGAAAGUGGAAUCCCAGCACAUGUCCUCCAUUACAAAGGUGAAAACCAUGUUGGAGACACAUUGAAAGACUGUGGAAUCAACGUGGAGUCAACAGUGCACUUUUCUUUAUCGUCUUUCCCCGAACACAAUCAAGAUCACUUCCAAGACACAAUAGCAAUCUUCCUUAAUGAUGUCGUUCCAUCAGUGCAACAAACCCAGAAAGGACUCAGUGUUUUCUUUUCUUCACUUUAUGUCAUUAAAAGGAAACAUUCUGGAUAUGGUUUCAAGAAAGUGAUUGCAUACAUCCGAAAGCUCAGUGGAUGCAAUCCUCUGGCCCAAAGUCUGUAUCAGCUGUUGUGCAGAAAUGAGAUUGGAACAGGGACCCAGAAGAUUGUACAGUCCUUCAACAAUGGCAAUCUCUUCAGAGAGCUGCUGCCAAGUCGAAUAAAAAAAAGAGGCGAAAAGAUCAUUGAAGACCCUGACGUUUUUGAGAAUGCACCAGUUUGCUGGGCUCACCUGAUAUCUGAAGCUGAGGGAGAGAGUUCACAAUAUGAGAUCUAUGCACCAAUGGUUUUGACCUCUCAACCAGGUGAACGCUUCUGUGACCCAGUUCGUUUACCUGAUGUACCGGAGGUCUUUGAAAAACAGUAUGUUCUGCAGAAAAUUCAAGAUGGGGAAAAAAUACCAAACUGCUCUGAUGAGAACCUGAGAGAAACUUCAAUGAGAAGAGCCACUGAUGUUGAGAAGAUUUUGCUCAGUCUGCCUCCGUUCAUCAAAACAUUCCCUGUUUGGAUUUCAUGUGAUCGUGUGACUAGUCAAAACUUUCAGAUAAAUCUACAGAAGACUUUUGGCAACAUGAAUGAACAAUUGAAAGCAUACCCUCAUCUGAUGGUGACUCCACCAUUGCUGUUGAGGGGUGGAGGGGCCACUUCUCGUUCUCUUAAAAGAAGAUAA
rnacentral:lncRNA from 1 species